UAAAGAUCGAUGGGUCGAUCUGUUUCUGCUCUACGACUUCAUUGUUUUUCUCUUUGCACUUGGCUGAGGCGGUGUUUGCUGUAUUCCUCGAUCGAUUUUAGGGUUUUGAUUUAAGAUUGUUCUAUAAUUGUUUUCUUGCGUCUUUGGUGGAGAUCGGCAUGGGAUUUUCGUGAUUCUUUGACGAUUCUGGUUUUGAUUUAAGAUUGUUCUUGUGAUGAUUUAGUUGUUUUCUUGCCUUUGGUGCAGAUCGGGUUGGGCUUUUCGAGAUCCUUUGACGAUUCUGGACGUAGAUCGAUUAUUGUUUUCCUUAUGCGGUUUUGUAGAUCUGGAAUUUGUAGAUCUAGUGUUCGUGGCUUUUGAUUAUUAACUUUCAAACGUGCCGCUCUCUUCUUCUUUAGGAGCUGUUUUUCCAAGUAGAGAAUCACUUAAAAUUGUAGGUCUAAGUCUUUCUUCCUCUCUGAUGGAUCUAUAAUUUUCUUCUUCUUCUUCUUCUUUCCUUUUCUUUCUUUUUUUUAACCUCUUUUUCUUUUUUUUUUUUGUUGGGUGGGGGGGGGGGCGGGAGUUGAUCUAUGCCAAUGAAUUUAGGGUUUUCAUCAUCAUCUUCCUCCUUCCGGCUGUUCUGUUAUUUAAAGCCCGGUUGCAAACGUUAGAGUUACACGGAUAUUCAUGAAACUCACCUUUUUUUUCUCCUUUUUCUGAUUCUCAGGAACUGAUGAUCUCUGCUCUGUGGGACCUCUCAUUUCGAACCUCAUGGAUUCGAGCCGCCUCUUGUCUCUCACUCCUAACGUUGAUGUCUUCUGCCCGCCUCGCAAGAGGUCACGGGUCACUGCUCCUUUCAUCUUUAAAGGAGGAGAGAAGAAGGGCGCUGAGAAGCAAAAGCAGCAGCCCUGCUCAAUCGAUGUUCUUCCUGACGAGUGCCUCUUUGAGAUCCUCCGGCGGUUGCCAGGAAAUAAGGAGAGGAGCAACUCUGCUUGUGUAUCCAAGCGUUGGCUCAUGCUCUUGAGCAGCAUCCGGGCUUCUGAGAUGGCUGCUUACAAAAAUAACGGCACCAGCGGCUGCGAGACCUUGAAGAAACCUUUGCCAGAUCUGAACAGUGCUAUGAGUACUGACGAGGAAGAGGAAUUCGAGAGCACUGGCUAUCUUACUCGGAAGUUAAAAGCAAAGGAUGCCACAGAUGUUAGACUUGCUGCUAUAGCUGUUGGUACUGGUGGCCAUGGUGGGCUGGGUAAGCUUUACAUUGAAGGAAGUAAUGCAACUCGUCCGCUCACUGAUAUUGGACUGUCUACUGUGGCCCGUGGUUGCCCUUCCCUACGGGUUCUGUCAAUGUGGAAUGUUCCCUUCAUCAGUGACAUUGGCCUAUCCGAGAUUGCAAGUGGAUGUCCUAUGCUGGAAAAGCUUGACCUGUGCCAGUGUCCUUUAAUCUCAGAUAAGGGUUUGAUAGCUGUUGCUCGGAAGUGUCCCAACUUGACAUCUCUGAUGGUAGAAUCUUGCUUGAGCAUAGGCAAUGAAGGCCUGCAGGCUAUCGGUCGCUGCUGCCCAAAGUUGAAGUCUAUUGUUAUCAAGGACUGCCCGCGUGUUGGUGACCAAGGAGUUGCAAGCCUGGUCUCUGCAGCUUCAUCUUUCCUAGCCAGGAUUAGGCUUGAGAAUGUGAAUAUCAGUGAUGUGUCUCUUGCUGUCAUUGGGCACUAUGGGAAGGCUGUUGCUGAUCUAGCACUUACUGGCCUCCAGUCUGUAAGCGAGAGGGGUUUCUGGGUCAUGGGCAAUGCUUUUGGCCUGCAGAACUUGGAGUCUAUCAUGAUCAACUCUUGCCGUGGGGUUACUGAUCUGGGCCUUGAGGCCAUUGCAAAGGGUUGCCCAAAUCUAAAGCAGCUGUGUCUCCGCAGGUGUUGCUAUCUGUCAGAUGCUGGCCUGAAAGCUUUUGCCAUAACAGCUAGGGCACUGGAGAAUCUGCAUCUGGAGGAGUGUAACCGGAUCAGUCUAAUUGGUGUUCUUGGCUGUCUUCUGAACUGCAAUGAAAAAUUCAGGGCACUAUCCUUGGUGAAAUGCUUGGGGAUCAAGGAUAUAAGUUUCUGCACGGCCCCACUCCCCUCAUGCUUGUCUCUUCGAUCCUUGACCAUCCGUGACUGCCCUGGUUUCACUGGUGCUAGCUUAGCAGUGGUUGGGAAGAUCUGCCCACAAUUGCAGCAUGUAGAUUUGAGCGGCCUAGUUAGUGCGACUGAUGCAGGCCUUCUGCCUCUGAUUGAGAGUUCAGAGGUGGGACUAGUUACAGUCAAUUUGCGUGGCUGUGUUGAUCUGACAGAUGCUGUUGUCACUGCACUGGUGAAGGCACAUGGAAGUACUCUCCAGAUGCUUAAUCUUGAAGGCUGUAAGAAGGUCACUGAUAAGAGCCUCUUGGUGAUUGCAGACAGUUGCUCUUUUCUUGAUGAUCUUGAUAUGUCGAGGUGCAUGAUCGGUGAUUAUGGUAUUGCAGUCCUGGCGUCUGCAAGUCAGCUUAAGCUGCGAGUCCUCUCUCUGGCUGGCUGCUCUAAUCUGACCCAAAAGAUUCUGCCGUUCUUGGGCAACAUGGGCAGAUCCUUGGUGGGGCUGAACCUCCAAAACUGUAAGCUGAUCAGUACUCAAGGGAUUGGAGCACUCGAGGAGAAGCUGUGGUGGUGUGAUAUCUUUUACUAGAAGAAAGGAGAGAGGGCUGCAGGAGAUUCUUUGGUCGGUCCAUUGAUGGGGGUCUCCAGCACCAGAUGACAGAUAAAAACAGCAGUAGCAUCAGCAGUUUUAAAUUUCCAGUUGGUUUUUGGCUCGUGUCAUAGGCAGUGGGCUUUCUUCUUUGUCACAGGACUUGGUUGUUUUUCAGGGACCUUUGGCCAGUCUUACUUUUUUGCAGAUUCUCCUCUUUUAGAGGGGAAGCCUGUUUCAGAGUGUUUGGCAGCCGCUGAUUGGCUAGCUUUCCUCUAUCCUGGUCUUGGUUCUUGAGAUGACAACUAUGCCUAGUCCUGGUUCAUAGUGUUCUCUUUGAAUCAGUGCUUGUUUAUGUCAUUUCUAGGUGUCUUUUUUUAAGAGGGUCCUGGUUAUGUAUCGCUGGGGCAGCUGCAUCUGUCGCUGCUCUGGUGUUUUAGCCAAGCCUCAUUGGUAGUUGAAGCUCGUGUCUGAAGUUUCAAUCAGGUCUUGUAGGUGUUGUUCCAGUUUGGACUCAUGUCCUCUGAGUCGGAUCUGUUUGGUUCUAUUAGUGUGGGUCUCGUCUGGUUGCUUUUGCACAGUUCUGUUUGGUUGCCUGAGAUUUAUGGGGCUUUGGUUAUGGCAGCACAUACUUAGAGCGUGCCAUGACAGCCUUGUUUGGUUGUUUUUUCCACCAAGCUCUACUUUUGCAGGCUGAUGGCUGAGGACUGUAAUCUUUGCAACCUUUCUUAUAAUGAGUAAUUCUUAUGUUAAAUGUCCAGUGUUUAAUGUUUUCAGAGACUGGUUUGGUAGUUUAUGUUUUCUGUUCCAGCUUUUAUGAAUGUGAAGUUUUCUGCUCUUGCAUCCGGUUUGGAAUACCUUUCAGGACGGCUGGGGCCUUUAGCACUGCACUGUGUUAUUCUGGUUUACAUUGGGAGACUUUGAAAGAAUGAUUGUAAUGUUGGUCGCUACUAAUAGUGGCAUGAAAGUUUGGUAAAAUUCUGGUUCUUUCAUGGGACAUGAGGAGAAGUUUUGUUCAUUUCAUGAACUCCAGCAAUUUAAAAAAGUUGUAGUCUUGUAUGAUAAGUUGGGAUGAUGUUGCGUUCUCUCUUCUUUCCAACCUCAAGAGGGCUGGUCUUGGACCUCGGUGCUACGGUAUGUUGUAACGUGCAGGCUAUCUCGUGUUUUUGUUGAAAUCCUAGUGACAGUAAGGAUUCUUUUAUGUUUUGAUUGGAACAAGUAUUGAUAAGGUGCUAGAAUCUAGCUUGUUAGGCUUUUUAACCACUUUUCAUAGGGGUUAUGCCAAAUAGGGAAUUAGCUUCUUUUCUUGAUAUUGCGUCUUUGAUGGAUGUUAAGCCAUUUUUCCUCUCAUUUUCUAUUUUUAGUUAUAUAUGUGUUUGCCGGUUGAAACCGACGUUGUAUUUAGUUAAUGCUUGAAUCUCUCCGUAUCCGUCCGUCUGGUCCUUGGGAUGGUGAUCGUGCUUUGACUUGUUCAGGUUUGCUUUUAUGCCAAAAUCAUGUAUUUUUGUAAUAAUGAGUAGAAGGCCUCUUUGCCCUGCUGGUGUGUUUGGUGCCAGAUGUUUGGUAGGUUAAUAGCUCAGAUCCUGGUAGAGGAACGUGAUAGGCAUAAAUGCGCAGAUUAUUCGAGCAUUAUUUUCAGUAUGGAGAGUGGAUCGUUCGCGUAAUUGCUUGGGCCAUGUGGGCACGGUGAUCGUAUCAUACAAAUAUGCAUAUCAUUUGAGCUGUCAAUCAAUUCUUUAGUUUGUAGCUGGAAAAAUAACUUGUGAAAAGGGAGAUCUGCUUAUAUUCAUCGCAGAAUAUCCAGUGUAUCUGGAGAUGUUUAUUGAGUACGAGCUAUGCAAUCAUUAUAUAUAUAUAUAUAUAUAUAUAUAUAUUGNNNNNNNNNNNNNNNNNNNNUGGAGAUGUUUCGAUUGAGUACGAGCUAUGCAAUACAUUAUAUAUAUAUAUAUAUAUAUAUAUAUAUUGCAGACUCCAAAUGGUUGGAAGGAGAUUGGAUGGUUAUGAUAUGGUACUUCAGGGGCGGCUCCGAGAAGGCUCAGCUAAAGAGGAGCCAUAACCCAGCAGCUUGUCUACAUUCCUGCCGGUCAAUUUUGGAUUCGUUCCAGCGCUAGUUUAGGUGUUGAGCCGGGCGGGGUGCAAUCCUGGUCCGUAGUUGCAUGGACCGCUCCUUGAGCCCAAGAUUGUCGCAACUGAGCCUCUCCAGAUAGGGGUGUACAUGGUUUAGUUUGAUAUGAUUUGAAAAUAUUUUUAAAUUAAAUUAAUAAAUUAUAUUUUAUCAAUUUUAUAAAUCAAAUGAGAUCAUUUUGUCACUCAAAUCAGACUAAACCAAUGAAUUACGGUUUGAUCUGGUUUGAUUAACGGUUUGACAUAUUAUAAUAUUGGUGGUAGAAAAUUUUGAAAAAAAAAUAUUCUAGUCAAAAAAAAAAUUGAAAUUAUUAUGAUAGCUUUCGGACCAAUGUAUAGCUCCGGUCUCUGAAAUCAUUAAAAUGAAGAUUAUGCCUUUAAAUCUUAUUGCUGCUAUAUAAGUAUAUUUAUCAAUUAUGCGGUAUUAUUUAAAAUUUAUAAAUGCACAAUCAAACAAAAAUACCUAUAAGUUUCAGAAAAUUCAGAUUAUACAAUGCUGUAAAGAGCAAAGUAAAAUUAUUAUUACUAAAAAAAGUAUUAAAAUUUUUUAGAUCAAGAGACUAAAAAUUUGAUAUUUAGUUCUUUAAUGCUUCAACUAGAAAUUAAAAGUGUUGCACUAUAAAAAUUGUUUGGUGUGAAAUAUAUAAAAAAAAAUUACAAACCUUGUCAAAGCAGUCUCUAGCUACUUCAAUCUUCAUUACUUUGAAGUAUUUUAACCAGAAAUCAAUUGCCACUAUUGUUUUCAUUUCAUUGCUGUGGUUCUUUUUUUCUAUUGUUCUCUGAACUCCAAGUAACUUAAGAAUCGGAGUGUGUCCUACCGAAUGAAUUCCAGCAAGAAGAUUUCUUUGUAGGAAUAUUCUCCAUCGAAAGCAAGGCGUGACUUACUCAGCACUAGACCAAGGUCUUCGUCGGGGUUUAGUGGCAAUAGAAAUUUUUCAUCAUUCAAGGCAUUCUAAUUUAGAAUUAAAUCUAGAUUUUUUAAAUAAUACUUGAUUUGCCCUUUGUCCUUUAAAAAUUAUCUCACGUGUGAAAGAUGAUCUCCUUCUUAUAAAGACGAGUCCCUCUUGACUAACCACCGAUGUAGAAUUAUUUAUGCCCUCCAUAUUAUUAGAACUAUAUUAUUAGGACCUCGACUCACAAUCAAUGUAGGAUUAUUGGUGCCCUCCACAUUAUUAGAAUCACGUUAUUAAGACCUUGACCCCUAUCUGGGAGGGCAUUAUUAUGGAUAAAGGCUCAAUCCGACACGUGAGGUAUUAUCCGUUCUGGCCGAUGGGCCUCAUGGUUUUGUCAUUUGAAAGGUGCCUCAAGUGGAAAAGAUAAUCCCUUCCUUAUAAGCGCGAGUCUCUCUAGACUCACAAUCGAUGUAAAACUAUUGGUAUCCUCUACAUUAUUUAAACCACAAUAGUAUAAAUAAAAAAAUAUUCAUAAAUCAUCUAUUUUUUAGAUAGCUUGUAAGAAAAAUUAUAAAUAAAUAUAGUUGUAAAUAGAAGUUAUGAAUAUUUGUAAAUAUUUUUAGUCAUCAAUUUUUUUAAAAACAUCUAAAAUUAUUUUUUUAUCAAAAAAAUUUUAUAUUUUAUGAAAAAUAAUGAUUAAAAUAUUAAAUAUAACAAUAUAAAUGAAAUAGUUGUUUAAUGAUCGGAAAGCUUACCAAUAAGUUUGAAAAGAAUGAUCCAUAUAAGUUAGAUAUAAGGCCGCAAGGCCGCAAACGAGGGAUCGAUCCAUGACCUGACCUUAUUUGACCCAUUUAGACUCGAUCUGCAUCUGAUUUAAGGACCCAUGAGGUCAGAUUGGUUAUCAAAUUUGGACUUAUUCCACAUUUUGAGUCAGGUCUAUAUUUAUUGAGUUAUAAGCCAACCCGACUCGCUUAUUGUCUAAGUUUGAUUGGAGCCUUACCUAUGACCCGACCUGACUUAACCUGAACCCAUUUUUAGAACUUCGGAUCAGUUUGAACCAAAAAAAAUGAAUACACACCCCUACUUUCUUUCUCUUUCAUCCCUUCUAGCUAAGAUUUCUACUUUUCACUUCGUACUUUUUUCUUU
rnacentral:lncRNA from 1 species